AGGGCAGUAGAGGACCCAGUGUUCACUUGGUGUUCAGAGAGAGAGCAAGAAGCACCAGUGUGAUUAACCUUGGGUGAGCACCUGGGUGUGGUAUGAGUCAGUGGAGCACAGAGACGCUUUUGGUUUUUUAACCUGCUGAUGAUUCGACAAAAAGUGACAAAAAGUCAAAUAAAAGGACUAAGUUGAACCGAGUUGACUCCUGUGCCAAGCCUGGUCGAGUCCAGGCAGACGAACCCCUAAUAACAGACAGUAUGGUACACCAAGUCCACUUGAUCUGCUGACUCACGCUGUGUCCUCUGCCUGCUCAUCAGACUUGGAGAUCUUCCUGUAGCAGUAGACCAUCUCCACCAGCAGCCAGAAGGUCAAGAACACCAGCAGCACAUACAUCAUGAUCUCAGAGUAGACUGCUGUGGUGUCUUUACUGGCUGUGGAGCACAAACAACAGCACAAAACAUGUUUUAUUCAGUUUGCAUCCCACCUCUGAAUGUUUUUGGGUUGAAGGAGGGGAGACUUAUUUAGCCACAGGUUUAAGAGUAUACUGUAAGUAUGCUGAGUUUGUUCAUGUAUGGGCAACACUGCUGACUCACAAUCAACUGUCAGUCAUAAUAGAGAAGGCAAUAUAUCUACGUGCUUCAAAGGUUUACUUUCAUUUCACUGAAUGACAGUCCAACUCAGUAUUAACAAUAGUUAACAGUAUGCAGCUUAAAGCACAUUUGUGUUUUCUAGUGUGUAUCCAGUUCAAAGAUACACUUGAUGCACAAAUGAUGCAGCUAUAUUAUGACCAUACCUAUAGUAUAAUAGUGCCUACAGAGUUAAAGGCGCCCCGUGGAGUCGUCUUGCGUUUCAUUUGUGCAUUGUUUGCGUCCAUGACUGUUUACGAACAGUCUUCUACUUCACUGCUGUUACAUUGCUACAUUUGUUGGUCCCAUAUCAAAAAAUGUUGUCCGUGGAAGAACAGGAAAUCAACAGUAUAAUGUGAAUCAUGCAGCACAUGUUUUCAAACUAGUGCAUUUGUGUUCUCCUCAUGCAUGAUAUAAACAGGGACCCAUAUGAAACACUGCUCAAUAGCACUACUAGUGGUCCAAAACUCCACAGGGUUCCUUUAAAUAUGAAAUAAAAUGGAUACUCACAAUGGUUCUCAGGGCAUGACUGAUUUUAUAUUUAGAGAUAGGAUUAUUUCAGGUCAUAUUUUGGUUUUAUGUCAAUCAAUGUAAGACUAAUAAUGUUCAGUUUAAAGAUCCAGUGUGUAUGAUUAAGGAUAUGUUAUUACAGAAUAUGGCAGAAAGGUGAUAUAACAUGCAUAAUUGUGUUUUCAUUUGUGUAUAUCACGAAUCAUAUGUAUAAUCACAUAAGAACUGGCCUGAGUUGACUCUGAAGGGAAGUGUAAUUUUCCAGUUUGUGUUAUAUGUUAUAUUUAGUAUUGAUAGCAGCAAUAAACAAACUAAACACUGGU